rnacentral:lncRNA from 10 species
AGGGAUGUGGGGAGAGAGAGGGUCUUCGAAAUCAGCAGCUGAAGGACCAUCCUUCCUGUUAUUGGGAACCAGCCCGCCUGGUGUCAGAGCUGAUGCAGAGGAGAGCUGAGACAUGGAGAGAGAGGCGGGUUUUUGAGGACACUGCUUGAACCCCUGAAUCCAGCCAUGCCUGAAGUGCCCACUUUGUUCAUCUCUGCUCACUGGGGGAGCCAGGACACGGAUCCAGGUUUUCUGACUCCAGGUCUCAGGCUUGCUCCAUAGCGCCACCUGCUGGUAGGCACCCAAAUCAAGACUCAGAUUUCCUCAUCUCAGAAGUUGUCCACUUCUUCUCCGACCUCCACGGUAACUCGGAACCACACCGUGGAGUUAUCCCUGUGUCCUCUUUCUCGGAAGUUCCACAUCCAACCCCUCAGCAGGUCUCAGCGGCACUCUCACCACCUCCUCUGCUCUGUUCCUGUUUCUCUUGGAUGGUCGAAUGUUUCCUAAGGAGUGUCUGCUGCUUCACGCUUGCCCCCUGGAGUGGCAUCUAAAAGGAUACCCUACAACUAACAGGCAUGAUGCCAUCAAGACAUCUUGAGCCUGGCUACCUCCCGUGGCCUGUAUUUUGUCCACAGGAAACUCGCGCAGUCUCACUACAGCAAAUUGAGGUGGUAUGGGGUGCCUGCUGCUGCCUCUCUCUUCACCUUUCCACAGAGGGCUGCCCCAGCCUGACUCCCACUUCCAGAGUUUCUCCAGCCAGGAGAAUCCUGAAAUCUCUGUAAAUAAGCAAUCCAGGAGCCAGAGAAUCAUGGGAUCUCAUAUAAACAAAUCAUCAAGGAAAAACACAGCCAGAGUCUCCAUUUGGUAAACCUCCGUGACUGGGGAUCCCCGGCCACCCAGAAAGCAGUAUUGCCUGCCAUGCAUGUCAUCACUGAUUUUUACUGCUGCAGCAGACUCCGUCAGACCUGCCUGCUGCUUCAGCGAAUUGUUCAGUGCACACCACCAGCUACCUGCUGUAAGCAUUCACACUCCUCUACCUGCCUGGCAGCAUUUCUCAGCUGAACACAGGCCAGGCCAGAAGUGCCAGGGAUUUAAUGCCCUUAGAAGUAGCUCUCUACCAAUGACAAAUGGAGCUGGUGGAUACAUUCUCAGCUUCCUCCCCUCUCAGGUGGAACAGCCCUGAGAUGUGCUCUAUGCAAUCUCCCACAAGUCCCCAGCAGGCUCAAGCUCCCAUUGUCCAACCCUGGUAACCUGCUCAUUGACACCCCUGUCUUGCCUUCCCUUCCUGGCCUCACUUUCUCACUCUCUUACUGUUGCCUCCUGAGAUCGCAUCCAAAAUAAAUGACCUGCACCCA